UAUGUGAUCGUCUCUCGCAUAUCAAUAAGCGGAGGAAAAGAAAGCUAACAAGGAUUCCCCUAGUAACGGCGAGUGAAGCGGGAAGGGCUCAAAUUUGAAAUCUUAAAGGGUUUCCCUUUACGAAUUGUAGUUUAAAGAAGUGUUUUCUGUUGAGGUUUUGGUAAAAGUUCUUUGGAAUAGGACAUCAUAGAGGGUGAGAAUCCCGUAUUUGACCUUUACUUUCAACUUUGUGAUACACUUUCAAAGAGUCGGAUUGUUUGGGAAUGCAGUCCAAAAUGGGUGGUAAAUUUCAUCUAAAGCUAAAUAUUGGCGAGAGACCGAUAGCGAACAAGUACCGUGAGGGAAAGAUGAAAAGAACUUUGAAAAGAGAGUUAAACAGUACGUGAAAUUGUCAAAAGGGAAGCGUUUGACACCAGUGUUGUUUUUCUGAAAAUCAAUUAAAGAACUGUUUAUGCUAAGUUGUUUAGACUUUAUCAGCUAACUGUUUAGUUUUGAGCUUUUCUUUAAUGCACUUUUCAGUUAACAAGUCAACAUCAAUUUCUUUUGCUGUAAAAAAGCUUGAGGAAGGUGGCUUGAGAUUCGUCUUAAGUGUUUAUAGCCUCUUGCCUAUGCAGUCGGAGAGAUUGAGGUCUGCAGCGUAGAUCCUUCGGGGCUAAAUGCAUUUGUGCUAAGUUAUAGCAUUUUAUAGACAACUUGUUGACUAUGAUUUGUCUUGUAGCUUACUCGCUUAUGUUAUUUUACCUACGCUUAGGAUGUUGACACACGCGCGUGCUCG
rnacentral:rRNA from 1 species